ensembl:lncRNA
CUUAAUUAGCAUACGUCAUGAAAAUAAAUGCACUUCUGGGUUCAUAUCGACUCACCUCACCUGGGCAAAGUGUUAUUGUUAGAUUCCAUGCGCAACAGGUGGUGACACACAUCUCUGCAUACCUGGCAGAUAUCUCCGCUUGGAUGUCUGCCCACCACCUCAAGCUCAACCUCGACAAGACGGCGCUGCUCUUCCUCCUGUGGAAGGCUUCCCACUCCAGGACCUCUCCAUCACUGUGUCCCCCUCCCAGAACGCAAAGAACAUUGGCGUGACCCUGGACAACACCCUGUGGUUCUCUGCAAACAUCCAUUCUCUGCAAACAUCAAAGCAGUGACUCACUCCAGCAUGUUCAUGCUCUACAACAUCCGUAGAGUAUGACCCUACCUCAAACAGGAAGUGGCACAUGUCCUAAUCCAGGCACUUGUCUUCUCUCAUCUGGACUACUGUAACUCGCUGUUGGUUGGGCUCUCCGCUUGUGCCAUCAAACCCCUGCAACUCAUAAAGAAUGCUACAGCCCACCUGGUGUUCAGUCUUCCCAACUUCUCCCACAUCACCCCACUCCUCUGCACACUCAACUGGCUUCCAGUUGAAGCUCGCAUCCACUACAAGACCAUGGUACUUGAAGCAGCAAUUGGAACUGCCCCUCCAAACCUUCAGGUUAUGCUUCCUCCUGAAGCUAGGACAGCAGAGUCCCUCCCCAUCUUCUGAAAACAUCUGAAACCUAACUUGUUCAAGAGUAUCUUGAAUAAUCCCAAAGAACCCCCUCUUAAACCCCUUCCUCACCCCGAUGCUGCAGCCCGGCCUCCUAGUGUUCAACCUUCCCAAGAUCGUACACUUUAAUGGCUUGCAGUCGAAGCUUGCAUCCACUACAAGACCAUGGUAAUUGCCUAUGGAGCAGCAAGAGGAACUGCCCCUCCCUACCUUCAGGCUAUGCUCAAACCCUACACUCCAACCGUAGCACUCUCUUCUGUCACCUCUGGUCUUUUUGCCCUCCCACACCUACGGAAGGACAGCUCCCGCUCAGCCCAGUAAAUUCUCUUCUCCAUCCUGGCACGCCAAUGUUGUAACCUGCUUCCUCCUGAAGCUAGGACAGCACUGCCCACAUUCCGAAAACAUCUGAAAUAAAUGUGAUCAAAAUGCCAUUGCGCUUUCUUUUACACUCUAUCAUGAUCCAGUUCCAACAUCUCAAAAUCAUACAACAAAUUAGGUCGUUUUUGUUAUGAUAAAAGGUGAAUGGAAGGCGUUUUCCACCCGGGGAUGUAGUGCUCGUCCACGAGAGCAUAAAUAUAGUGUGGCUCUGAUUUUAUCAAUGAAAAUGUGUAUAUGUUGCGUGAAACAGUUUGUAGUAUUUUCUUGCCAAACAAAUUUAUCAAUCUCCACAUGUAUACCAGAAUUUAGUAAGAAAUGUAUGCAAGGUUGAUAAAUGAGGAGCAUCAUAGUAGUGAUGCUGUGAGUCCCGGAAGCCCGUCUGCAGCCAUUGAAACUAAUGAGGGUCAUUUUCCUGUCUGGCGCAGGGGGCCACACACUCUCUCCUGGGGCUUUGAAAGUCGGGCACACUGCAGGGCAUGGUACACCAUUAAGGGCCGCUCCAAGGGGGUGACCAGAGGCCACUUAGGAAAUGAUGUGACAGGCAGUAUUCAG